rnacentral:rRNA from 1 species
GAUGAACGCUGGCGGCGUGCCUAAUACAUGCAAGUCGAGCGACGCGGGGACGGGUGUGUAAAACGUGGGGAACCUCCCAUAUGACUGGGAUAACUUCCUGAAACCGGUGCUAAACCGGCUACUUAUCCCUGGUUCCGCUCUGUAUUAGCUAGUUGGUAAGGUAACGGCUUACAAAGGCCACGAUGCAUAGCCGACCUGAGAGGGUGAUCGGCCACACUGGAACUGAGACACGGUCCAGACUCCUACGGGAGGCAGCAGUAGGGAAUCUUCCACAAUGGGCGAAAGCCUGACGGAGCAACGCCGCGUGAGUGAAGAAGGUCUUCGGAUCGUAAAACACUGUAAGUAGGGAAGCGGUACCGAAAGAGAAAGCAACGGCUAACUACGUGCCAGCAGCCGCGGUAAUAC